GCUGAUGAUGAUAUAAUCUAUUUUAUAUGAGGUGUAGUGGAUCCAAGUCCCUGCUUUUGCAGGGGGAACCUCUUGGCGAAACAACAUUACAAAUGAUCAUAUUGGAUUUUUCUGAAGC
rnacentral:snoRNA from 1 species